CUUCGGCACACGCUCAGUGCGCAUCAAUGAGUUUGCAACUCACUAUGAACUUCACUACAAAGCCGAU
rnacentral:tRNA from 1 species